GAAAAUAAAAUUAAUAAAAUUUGUUUUAAUAAAAAUAUUUUUAAUUGGGGGUAGUUAAAGUAUAUUUUAUAGAAAAAAUGAAUAAUUUUAUAGGGGAUUAUGUAUUGUAAAAGAAUUUUGAAAUAUUUGAAAAUAAAUUUAUUAGUAAGUAAUUUUUAAUUGGUGUAUCUUGUGUAUCAGAGUUUAUUAAUAAAAUUUUUAAUUUAAAAAAUUCUCGAAUUAAAAGAGUUAAUUAAUUAAAAAAGUAUUGUUGAAUAAUAUUUUAAAUAAUUAAUUUGGAAAUGAAAUGUUAAUCGUUUUUUAAGAUAUCUAGUUUUUUUAGAAAAAAAUUUAAUUUUAAAUUUUAAUAAUAAAUAGUUUAAAUUUUAAUGGUUUUAAUAGGAUUUUUAUAUUUAGGGAUAAGCUUUAAAUUAAAUUUUUAUAAUAAAUUUAUUUAAAUUAAAAAUUUUUAGAAUUUAUAUUGUUAAUAAAUUGUAAUUUAUUAUAAAUAAUUUUUUUUUAAUUAAAAUUUAAUACAUAAAAUAUUUAAAAAUUUAUAAAAAAAUAAUUACAAAUAAAAUUUAAUUGGUUAUAAUGAUAAAAUUAGUAUAUAAAUUUAUAAUAAUUAAUAUAUUUGUUUAAUAUUUAAUUAAGUGAAAGGAAUUCGGCAAAUUUUUAUAUUCACUUGUUUAUCAAAAACAUGUCUUUUUGGUGUUAAUUUAAAGUCUAAUCUGCCCCCUGAUGUUUUAUUGAAGGGCUGCAGUAAUUUGACUGUACAAAGGUAGCAUAAUCAUUAGUCUCUUAAUUGGUGACUUGUAUGAAGGAUUGGAUGAAAUAUAUACUGUCUCUUAUUUAUUUAUAAAAUUUAAUUUUUUAUUUAAAAAGAUAAAAUAAAUUUAAAAGACGAGAAGACCCUAUAGAGUUUUAUAAAUAAUUAAAUUAAAAAUUAUGUGUGAAUUUAAAAUUUAGAUUUAGUUAUUUAUUUUGUUGGGGUGACAAAAAAAUUUAAUUAACUUUUUUUUAAAGAAAACAAAGAUAGUUGAGUAAUUGAUCCAUAAUUUAUGAUUAUAAGAUAAAGUUACCUUAGGGAUAACAGCGUAAUUUUUUUUUUUAGUUCGAAUAAGAAAAAAAGUUUGCGACCUCGAUGUUGGAUUAAGAUAAAAUUUAAAUGCAAAAGUUUAAAAUUUUGAUCUGUUCGAUCAUUAAAAUCUUACAUGAUCUGAGUUCAAACCGGUGUAAGCCAGGUUGGUUUCUAUCUUUAAGAAAUAAGAAUAUUUUAGUACGAAAGGAUCAGAUAUUUGAAAUAGUUUUAUUAAAAUGAAUUUUAUUAAUUAGUAAUUUUAUUAAAAUAUAUAAAAUGUAAAAGUUUAAUUUCAAAUUAUAUA
rnacentral:rRNA from 1 species